rnacentral:rRNA from 1 species
GACGAACGCUGGCGGCGUGCUUAACACAUGCAAGUCGAACGGAAAGGCCCUGCUUUUGUGGGGUGCGCGAGUGGCGAACGGGUGAGUAACACGUGAGUAACCUGCCCUUGACUUUGGGAUAACUUCAUGAAACUGGGGCUAAUACCGGAUAGGAGCUCCGGCUGCAUGGUGGGGGUUGGAGAGAUUCGGGGGUUCGGGACGGACUCGCGGUUUCUCAUCUUGUUGGUGGGGUGGUGGCUUACCAAGGCUUCGACGGGUAGCCGGACUGAGAGGGUGACAGGCCACAUUGGGACAGAGAUACGGCCAAGACUCCUACGGGAGGAAGCAGUGGGGAAUAUUGCACGAUGGGCGGAAGCCGGAUGCAGCAACGCCGCGUGCGGGAGGACGGCUGUCGGGUUGUAAAGCGCUUUCGCCUGGGAAGAAGCGUGAGUGACGGUAAUGGGUAAAGAAGCACCGGCUAACUACGUG